UGUUGUUGUCCAUUUAUUUCUAGCCCCCACUUCCUGUCUGUGUGUGCAUGUGCAGCGUGGGUGGCGAUGUGUGUGUGUGUGUGUGUGUGUCGUUUGUCGUGCACAUGGAAACAAACUGUCACAAAAGAAAGAAAGAUUGUGAAACUUGACGUGACGUAUCGACAAUGCUGAUCCGCGACAACGAGGAGGAAGCGUGAAGUUCACAGGAAGUGAAACCACAGCGGAGCCCCUCGCAACAACCGCCGAGGUCACAGAGGAUCUCCAGCAGAAACGAACAAUAGCUGUCGCUUCUCAUCCUCGCAGCAGCGUUGCAGCGUUGUACAGCGGCAUGUAGAUUAUCGACCAACUGUGACAUUCAUGAUAAAAAAAACUAAACCAUCAGAGUGGUGACGAUCGUCUAACUGAACACGUUUUUUCCGCAUUCAUCUAGAAGCUUCUUGUCGAGUGAGUCAAUCAAAUGCGACCUUUCAGUUCCUUUUAGCUGAACAUGUAAGUGGGCCAGAUUUAUAUAAAAUAACAAUACUCUUCCUUUUUUUUUUUUUGUUAAUGACAGUUUUAUGAAUAAAAAAACUGCAUUAAAUCUCGCAGCCGCCACUCUGAGUGACGUCAUCGUCUCUGACAUUCAACAGGAGCACCUCCUCGCCUCCUGUCACACACUGUGGAACAUCAAGGCGUCCGGAAGAUGGAGAUGUGAGAAUGAGGAGAGGGGUGUAGGGUGAUGUGGGGUGUGUGUGGGGGUGAUGUGAAGCGUGUGGGGGGAGUGUGGGGGGAGUGUGGGGGGGUAAAGCACUCCUCUCAUUUCUCUGGGGAUCAGCCUCUUUUAGCCACAGCAGCAGGAAGCAGCAGCGGAUUCUGUAAAACGAGGCAACAAAACACGAAAACACGUCUAGAAAUGAAAAAAAAAUUGGUUGUGCGUGUGUGCGUGCAUGUGUGUGUGUGUGUGUGUGCUGUAAGAGGAGCUGUGGGAGGAGGGGAGGGAUGGAUAGAUGGCUCCUUACUCAUCAAUGACCACCACAGAAAUAGCCAGCAGGCCGACACAUUGCAGCGACACCUUCAGAGUCUGUGUGACAUUGUGUGCAGGAUGAACACGUGUGUGAGUGUGUGUGUGUGUGUGUGUGUGUGUGUGUGUGUGUGUGUGUGUCAGUGAGAGGGGAAGAUAAAGACAGACACACUGAGCGAUGAGGUCAUCGUACGGGUGUAAACACACCCGCCCAGGAGAAGUCCGACGAUGAAAGAUCUGAUUUCUUUUUUGUUUCGUCAUUUUCUUUCCCGGUUCAAUUCUCAAUUAUUCUGCUCUGAGAAAG
ensembl:lncRNA